rnacentral:piRNA from 1 species
UGCCGUCGCAAUUAUAGAGUUCUACGUGU